rnacentral:rRNA from 1 species
GGCUAACGCUGGCGGCGUGUCUUAGCCAUGCAAGUCGAGCGGACUUAUGGGGGUAACUUAUAAGUCAGCGGCGGACGGCGGAGUAACACGUAGCUAACCUACCCUCUGGACGGGGGAUAACCUACCGAAAGGUGGGCUAAUACCCCGAUGUAGUCAUCCUGUAUAGGGGUGAUGAAAGGUGGGCUUCUGUUUACAAGCUCAUGCUGGAGGAGGGGGCUGCGGCCUAUCAGGUAGUUGGUAGGGUAAUAGCCUACCAAGCCGAUGACGGGUAGCCGGCCUGAGAGGGUGACCGGCCCGAGGGGCACUGAGAUACGGGUCCCACUCCUACGGGAGGCAGCAGUAGGGAAUAUUGGGCAAUGGGCGAAAGCCUGACCCAGCCAUGCCGCGUGAAGGAAGACGGCCUUAUGGGUUGUAAACUUCUUUACUACGCGAAUAGAGGUUAGUACGAGAUACUAAUAGGAAGGUAGUGUAGUAAAAAGCACCGGCUAACUCCGUG